rnacentral:rRNA from 1 species
AUAAUUAAGGGUAAUAAAUGUGCCAGCAUCAGCGGUUAAACAUAAUUAAUAAAUUAAUUAAAUUUAUUUUUUAGAAAAAUUAACUUAAUUAAUUUAUUUAAAUUUAAGUAAAUCAUUAUUAAAAUUUAGUUUAUUAAUUUUAAAAUUUUUUAGUAGAAUAUAAAAUUUUAUAUAAAUAAAUUUAACUAUAAAUUUUUUUUAAAGAAAUUGAUUUAAAAACUAGGAUUAGAUACCCUAUUAUUCAUUUAAUUUAUAGAAUAGUAAAUCUUUAUUUGAAAAUUAAAAAUUUUGACGGUAUUUUAAUCAAUUUAGAGGAUCAUGUUCUGUAAUUGAUAAUUCACGAAUUUAUAAACUUAGAUUUUAUUCUUUUGUAUGUUCGUUAUAAAAAAAUUUUUAAAAAAUUUAUUUUUUAAAAAAUUAUUAAAUUUUUAUUUCAGAUCAAUAUAAAGUUAUAUUUAAGAAGAAAUGUGAUACAAAUUUUAUAUAAAUUUAUAUUUUUAAUAUUAUUAAAUUUUUAGGAUUUAAAAGUAAAAUUAUUAAUUUAAUAGUUUGAAUUUUGAUUUAGAAUAUGUACAAAUUGCCCGUCGCUUUUAUAUAUAGUAAAAUAAGUCGUAACAAAGUAAAAGUACUGGAAAGUGUUUUUA